UACGUAGGGGGCUAGCGUUGUCCGGAUUUAUUGGGCGUAAAGAGCUCGUAGGCGGUUUGUCGCGUCUGCUGUGAAAACUCGGGGCUUAACCCCGGGCCUGCAGUGGGUACGGGCAGACUAGAGUGCGGUAGGGGAGACUGGAAUUCCUGGUGUAGCGGUGAAAUGCGCAGAUAUCAGGAGGAACACCGGUGGCGAAGGCGGGUCUCUGGGCCGUAACUGACGCUGAGGAGCGAAAGCGUGGGGAGCGAACAGG
rnacentral:rRNA from 1 species